rnacentral:rRNA from 1 species
GGAUCCAAUUUUCUGCCACCGAAUACAUUAGCAUGGGAUAAUGGAAUAGGACCCUGUCCUCCUAAUUUCAGUUGGUUUUGGCAGCGCGAGGACUAGGGUAAUGWUUAAUAGGGAUAGUUGGGGGCAUUAAUAUUUAAUUGUCAGAGGUGAAAUUCUUGGAUUUAUGAAAGAUUAACUUCUGCGAAARCWYYUGCCAAGGAUGUUUUCAUUAAUCAAGAACGAAAGUUAGGGGAUCGAAGACGAUCAGAUACCGUCGUAGUCUUAACCAUAAACGAUGCCGACCAGCGAUUAGGAGACGUUGAAUACAAAACACCACCAUCGGUGCGGGUCGUCCUUGGCGCGGUGGKCUUCAAAAGCCAGCGCGCGGGGGGCGKUUUAKCCGGGGGGCACCGGAAAAUGACCCCCCUAGCAGCWGUGUGAAGA